rnacentral:rRNA from 1 species
UACGUAGGGUGCGAGCGUUGUCCGGAAUUAUUGGGCGUAAAGGGCUCGUAGGCGGUCUGUUGCGUCAGGAGUGAAAACUCGGGGCUUAACCCCGAGCCUGCUUCUGAUACGGGCAGACUAGAGGUAUGCAGGGGAGAACGGAAUUCCUGGUGUAGCGGUGAAAUGCGCAGAUAUCAGGAGGAACACCGGUGGCGAAGGCGGGUCUCUGGGCCGAUAUUGACGCUGAGGAGCGAAAGCGUGGGGAGCGAACAGG